AUUGAACGCUGGCGGCAUGCCUUACACAUGCAAGUCGAACGGCAGCACGGGAGCAAUCCUGGUGGCGAGUGGCGAACGGGUGAGUAAUAUAUCGGAACGUGCCCGGUCGUGGGGGAUAACGUAGCGAAAGCUACGCUAAUACCGCAUACGAUCUACGGAUGAAAGCGGGGGAUCGCAAGACCUCGCGCGAUUGGAGCGGCCGAUAUCAGAUUAGGGUAGUUUGGUGAGGUAAAGGCUCACCAAGCCGACGAUCUGUAGCUGGUCUGAGAGGACGACCAGCCACACUGGAACUGAGACACGGUCCAGACUCCUACGGGAGGCAGCAGUGGGGAAUUUUGGACAAU
rnacentral:rRNA from 1 species